rnacentral:lncRNA from 1 species
CCAGUACGGAGUGAAAUUGUGAUAACUCCUGGCACAACCAUUAAGACCCUCAUCUAUAGUGGACUGGAACAAAGCACAGUCCAUGUUACACUUAGGUUAAAAAGAAGAAUGAAAACCCCUCAAGCCAGAUUUUAUGACUUUUUAUAUCACACUGAAAAGUCCAAUGAACUACAGAUUUCAACCAUGGAGAUUUGUGCCCUACUAUGAAACGGUGACUGUAACACAGAUUGAUGAAAGAUUCUGCAGGACGACAAAGGUUAAAGAUGUAGACCCGGAGCUAGAAGCCAGCACUGACACUGAUGGAGUGGACUGCGAUGAGAAUGCCCACAUUAUUGUCCUAUCCUCUGAUAACCAAUGUAAUAUGAAAACCGACUACAGAAGAAAGGAACAAAUUAAAUCCAUUAAUCAAGCAUAUCUCUGCUAAACAGUUGUUCGAAACUGAUGAACAAAUGAAAAAUUUACUGUUUGUUUUCAUGCUUGCAAGGAUUGGGGAAGAAAAUUAAUUAUAAGGUACUGGCCACACUAUCAGUAAAGUUUUUCUUGAGGAAACUAUUGCUUUGUCAAAGGACAAAUGAACCUCAUUAGGGAGAUUAGUUUCAGCUGGUAGUUUUGCAUUAGUACAAACUAAUAAUACACACUUCAAAAGAUACCCUGAGUAAGAUUAUGAAAAUUGAAAUCCAUUUGUUACUUCUUAAUUUACUAACUGUUAGAAAAUGACCACUCUAUUACUUAUCAUGAAACCAGAAGGAAAUCAAACACUGCUCACCUUUCAACUAAGUGCCUGAAAGAGAACUGUUGCAGUGUGGGCUUUGUGAGUGCUGCGAUGAUGAACUUACGCAUACAGGGGUUAUAACUUGGCCACGGCAUUUUACUCUUAGGUUGAAGCAUGUCAUGCAGAGCUCCAUGCCAAACGCAAUUUUUGAUAAGCUUCUUUGAAAUCCUUUUCUUUUCAAAUGUUUUAAAUGAAUUGGACAAAUAGCAAACUGACAUCUGAUAUUCUGAAUUCCCCUUAAAUCUAUACAGAGCAAGAACAGAAAAGAGAAAACGCUACUUUGCUAUCAAUCCUGUAUGGCCAGUGCACUGAGGCUCCUAAGCUGGCCACAGUGAGUGCAGUCCAGCUUCAAUGUUCAUUGAAUCCCUGGCCUUUCUGUCAAG